GUUACCCAGAUGACUAAUGAAAACUUGUAAACGAGCAAGGACAGGAAUGAGAGUGCUACAACACUCGUUCAAUACACCAAUAGAGUCAGAGCUCGUUAAUCACUAGGAAAAGAUUUGACAAGCUAACAUGAUAUCAAUGUUAUAGUUUAUACUGUCGUCUUAAUACUGUAAAUUAUUAGCUACAUCAGCCUGCAUGCGGUAGUGACCGAGCGUGUCCUGACAGCAGCAUGUAAACACUGCUAAACGCACUGUUAGCUUCAUGUAGCUAGCCAGUCACCCAACUUAACGAAACUAAAGGCAGCCUGCUAUAUACACAAUCAUAUAUCUGCACUGUCAAAUAUGUGCAAGCUCUAUGUCUUACCAGUUUAGAGCAAAUCUGCAUAUAGCACUACACCAGCCCGCAGGCUAUAGGCCAGGACCGCCAUCUUUGCUCCUCCAUGACAACAAGCACCUGUGAAGCUCUGUGGCGGCGCAGCUCCGUCUGCACCAUCUGCCUGGCCAGCCUCAUGCAACACCGCCUCCUUCUCCAUCUCUAAAGCAGGGUGAGUGACAUUUUGAACAGUGUGAUCACAUGACCAACUGGCUGCCUUAAAACAAGGGAAGGCUCGACUUCUCCACAGGCUCAAAUCAGCUGGCUCUUCUGUGUCUCUGUCACCCUGCAUGUAAAUCGAAGAGUACAGAUAGGUAUUUCUCUUGUAAUCAUGUAUUUUUAAGUUAAUCUUCGACCAAAACUCUGGGAAUCAUUGCUGUCAGAAACACACAGAUGAGAGGAAAAUAUUGCUCUCUGUAAUGAAGGACUUUUAUAUAGCUUGAGAUGUGAAGUGAACGUAUCUCCCAGUUGUGCUUUCCCCUGUAAGGACCUUUUAGUGGCGCCCCCUGUAGGCAAAGUGGUAUGUCUUUUCUGUUUUUUUCCAGUACAUUUGUAAGAAGUGUUUUCUGAAAAGUCAAAACAAAAUAAAAAAAACAAAUAAUCCCCCUGUC